UGGGUCGGAUGUAUAAAACCCGGUCUGUUAAUUGGUCUGUUAAGAGUUAUGAAUGGCAAAAAAAGUAUAAUUUUAUUGCUAUAUGGGGUGUUAUCGGAUCAAAUGGGUAGGCUCAAGACGAGCGGCUGAAAUAUACGGAAACAACACAUGAGCAAUGAAACAUAAAAUAUACGGAAACAACACAUGAACAAUGAACAAUUUAAAUAAAGGAAAUUGAAAAUUGAUAAAAAAGUGUAAUAUUAAAGUAGUGUUAAUUUCAUCCAAGAAUGGUCGCAUAUGUCAUGUGGAUUCUGUUUAAUUGUCAUGAAUGAGACCAACUUGUCAUCUACAUUGGUAACCAGUAUAUAAAUCAGAGAUAAACGUCGUAAUGUAACUAAACAUCAGUAAGUAAAAUAUAUUGGGAUGCUAAAAUAUAAAGAAUAGAGAAAGAAUAAUGAGUAAGAUAAAUAAAAGGUAAAAGGAAAAAAAGUCACGGAGGAAACGUGACAUAACAAUUUAAAGAAUACAGAAAUAACAACACCCCCAAUCCGAACCCUCAUGGUAUACACGAUAAUCUGGAUGGAGUAGCAGAAUAUAGAAUAAUAGAUAAGGACAGUAGAUAGUGAUGCAUUGCUAAAAAAGAGAG
rnacentral:lncRNA from 1 species